rnacentral:misc_RNA from 1 species
GCAUUUUCUAAUUUUGCUACUGUCCAAACAUAAGUUACAAUUAUACUUCUAACUCAAUUUCAAUAUUUACAAUCUAAAUAUCAAUUCAAUUUCAAUAUUCCAAUUAUAAGAUGUUCCAACGUUCAACAUUUAUAAUAUCCAUUCAUUCUGGACUGGAAUGGUUGGGAGCCUGUUAAGAAUUCUGCAACAUUUAUUGCCAUGUUGGCUCUUGUCUUAGCUCUUGUCAAUCUCUGCACGCUUAGGAAUUUUUAGUAUAACAAAGAAAUAUAUGUAGAGAAGUUAUAGUCAAAAUGCCAAACAAUUAAAAUGAUUUAAAUAAUUGAACUAUAUACAGGUACACGUAUGCAAGUGAUAUAAUUGCUAAUUUCCCUAAACACGAUUGAGAUGUGACACAUACACAAGUUUCAGAAACAACAAAUCAAGU